rnacentral:rRNA from 1 species
GAUGAACGCUGGCGGCGUGCCUAAUACAUGCAAGUCGAGCGAAUGGAUUGAGAGCUUGCUCUUAUGAAGUUAGCGGCGGACGGGUGAGUAACACGUGGGUAACCUGCCCAUAAGACUGGGAUAACUCCGGGAAACCGGGGCUAAUACCGGAUAACAUUUUGAACCGCAUGGUUCGAAAUUGAAAGGCGGCUUCGGCUGUCACUUAUGGAUGGACCCGCGUAGCAUUAGCUAGUUGGUGAGGUAACGGCUCACCAAGGCAACGAUGCGUAGCCGACCUGAGAGGGUGAUCGGCCACAAUGGGGCUGAGACACGGCCCAGACUCCUACGGGAGGCAGCAGUAGGGAAUCUUCCGCAAUGGACGAAAGUCUGACGGAGCAACGCCGCGUGAGUGAUGAAGGCUUUCGGGUCGUAAAACUCUGUUGUUAGGGAAGAACAAGUGCUAGUUGAAUAAGCUGGCACCUUGACGGUACCUAACCAGAAAGCCACGGCUAACUACGUGCCAGCAGCCGCGGUAA